rnacentral:rRNA from 1 species
GACGAACGCUGGCGGCGUGCUUAACACAUGCAAGUCGAACGAUGAACCCGGAGCUUGCUCUGGGGGAUUAGUGGCGAACGGGUGAGUAACACGUGAGUAACCUGCCCUGGACUCUGGGAUAAGCGUUGGAAACGACGUCUAAUACCGGAUAGGACCUUGGAUCGCAUGAUCUGGGGUGGAAAGUUUUUUCGGUCUGGGAUGGACUCGCGGCCUAUCAGCUUGUUGGCGAGGUAAUGGCUCACCAAGGCGUCGACGGGUAGCCGGCCUGAGAGGGUGACCGGCACCCCUGGGACUAGGACGGGGCCCAGCCUCCUCGGGAGGCAGCAGUGGGGAAUAUUGCACAAUGGGCGAAAGCCUGAUGCAGCAACGCCGCGUGCGGGAUGACGGCCUUCGGGUUGUAAACCGCUUUUAGUAGGGAAGAAGGGCUUCGGCUUGACGGUACCUGCAGAAAAAGGACCGGCUAACUACGUG